rnacentral:rRNA from 1 species
CUCUUUCUCGAUUCAGUGGAUGGUGGUGCAUGGCCGUUCUUAGUUGGUGGAGYGAUCUGUCUGGUUAAUUCCGAUAACGAACGAGACUCUCCCCUGCUAACUAGUCGGUUGGAUCUUGAUCAGCGGGUUGCGUGCCGAGUAACUCUCGCUGCGCGGGUGGUGCGUCUCGGGCUUCGGUUCGUUGCGUGCUCUCGUGUGGUGUUGGAUGCCUUGGAUCACACUGCACCCCAAGUCCGCCGCUUAUGCUAUAACUCUUCUUAGAGGGAUUCACGGCACUGAAGCCGUAAGAGACUGAGAGCAAUAACAGGUCUGUGAUGCCCUUAGAUGCUCUGGGCCGCNNGCGCGCUACAAUGCCGGGCACAGCAGGUGUUUCUCCUGCUCCGACAGGAGCGGGUAACCCUCUGAAAGCCAGUGUUCUUGCAAGUGAUUCCUCCCUCGUGGAGUUUCACAGAGGCGUGCUUGGGCCUGGGACUUGCAAUUCUUUCCCACCAACGAGGAAUGCCUAGUAGCGGCGGGUCACUGAGCCCGCUGUGACUCAGUCCCUGCCCUUUGUACACACCGCCCGUCGCUACUACCGAUUGGGUGUACCAGUGAGAGCCUUGGACUGGCGUCCGUUGUUGCUCGCAAGAGUGACAAGCGGGUCCGACGGAAAGAGGUCCGAACUGGUGCACUUAGAGGAAGUAAAAGUCGUAACAAGGUUUCCGUAGGUGAACCUGCGGAAGGAUCAUUA